AGAUAGGCUAACAGUAAUACACAUAUAAAUUAUACAACAGGAUUCCACAUACAAAAAAACAUUCGUCCAUUCUAUUCAUUCUAUGUCUAUGCAAUUAAUCUGAUAAGAGCAAUCUACUAUAAUAACUUUUGAGAAACCGGCCCCUGCUGAUAUGUUGAACAUUUUAAAUGUGUUUAUAGGCCUAUAGGGAAUAUUACAUUAUAUAUCAAAUAAUUACACUACAUUUAGUGGAAGACAGUAUUCAUGUACAUUAAUCCAGCUUCUACAAAAUAUUGAUUUACCUCGACGUUAAUCAAUUGAGAAAAGACCUCACCCCCGGAGACAUCAGUAAAAAACGUGAGGGUGGAUUGGUCCGCGAUCAACAGAGAACAGGACAUGUCGUCAACCUCUAAUUAGUGCCCGGGUUAACCCAUCUAAUUCUCUGAAACGAGUUAUUUGUUUAUAUGGGGAAGAUUCUAAAAUUGAUCCGCUUGUAAUCUUCUUAUGGAAAUCGACCAGACAGCGCGAAAAGAAAACUCAAAGUAACCCGGGGCUUGGUAAUGAGGGCCUCUGUGCACCUAAUUUCCUAAUUAACGAAAUCGGAAGGCGAGGAGGACCACCAGCAAAGCCUGCCAGUGUUCAGGCUCAGCAAGCCGCACGCAUGCCCCUCAGGCCCAAGAGCCCGCAGCUUCACGGCUUGCAGAAUCACGCCGUUGAAACGUUUGGAAGCAGCCUGUCUCCCUCUCAGAAGACCAGUGGAACAAUCUCUGCCAAGAUUACGUCGGUGUUCAGAGAGAGAAAGGAGGGGAGAAAGAAGGCAGGGCAUGACCGCGGCCAAUCGGCGAAGGGAGUGACCCGAGACCCACCACCUUGGACUUUAGACGUCUUGCUCGAUCGGUGUCGUAUGGAGAUACAUUCUGUCAAGCUCAGCUGGAGACCUGAUGAGACAAGUGGGGCGUUCUGAAAGUCCAUUGUCUCAGAACGAGGAUGGAACACGACUAGACCCUGGGUCAACACAGAUUGUGUUGCCAGAAACCUCCUCAACUGGCCAAUCGCCUCCAUUUAUCUCCCCUCUGGGUGAGCCUUCUGUGUCCAUGAGGCGCCUUUCAUCUGGCGAGACGGUGAGGAGAAACAUGGAUCGACCUGGACAGAGGUGGAGACAUCCUUCAGCCGUUCUGAUGGGAUGUUAUUUAGAGGAUGUGGAAUACUACAUGCGACUUAGAGAUUGCGAUCAACUCAUCAUCACCCCCUGGAAAGCACAGCUUAUAUCCCAAUAAGUGUGAUAUGGCCAAAGGUAAUUAACUGAUAGGGUUUCACAUGGUGUUGUGGUAAAGAAACCAAUGGAGCCACCUACUGACCAAGCAGAGAACAUGGGACAACUGACACUGCGUUGAGCUGCAGCGAUACAUGGACAGUUUGUAAUUACAUUUUACCACAUCUCAUUGAACCAAAUGGAGGAAGGCCCCAACAGAGGUCCCCAACAUAGGUCCCCACAGAGGCCCCUGGGACACGACUGCCUUAACCAGAGUGGGUGUGGUCCACGUUGGUUCCUCAGUGAUGUGGUUGCCAUGGAACAGGCUGGUUGAGGGUGUUUUGAUGUUAAAGACCAGACCAAUGCUGAGGUUUCCAAGAGUAUAGGAGGGUGUGAAUAUGUCCAACCAAGGCCUAAAACAAAUGAAUUACCUUUUUGAAAAAGUCUGCCAAAUUCAAUGGGAUUUUUAACUGAUAUAUAUUGAUGAACAAAGUCCUACAUUUAGGCCUAGCUUUAACAUUCUAUUCAAUUAUUUACAUUAUAUCAUUAUAGUACACAUAUUUAGAAGCAACUUAGUACACCAUUAAACUGUCCUUGCAUAAACAGCCCACAGAAUGGCGCUAUUGCUCAUGGCAUUCCAAUCCAGAUUUCAGACGAAUUGCGAUGUAACCCAUAUUCUUCCAGAGGUGCAAUAAUUAUGUAUCACAUCAGAGGAAUACCGUAGAAUACCGUAUGACAGCAGCACAAUUAAGUCAUUCCGAAACACUGAAUUCCACACAAUAUUAUUUGACAUUCGUUUGACUAGUUCAUCACAAUGGACAGACACAGUGAAAGUUCUUGACAACAACUAGUAAGAAAGACAGAGGCAGCUUGGAGGGCGGCUCUUUCCCUCUUUUUUUAAGGAUUGUUACUCUGGACCGUGAACAGUCUCGGCAAGAAAGUGGAAAUGGUAUUUUCAACAGGGUUCUGGUGGGGCUUUGUUUUCAUGGGACAGUCCCGGGAAGGAAACACCCGACCGAUCCAGCACCGGGACCAGCUCACUUCCUGCUCCUGUUCACCCAUCCUGGUCUGUCCUCCAGCAUGCCAAGGGCGGCCCCUGCCUGGUAACGCCGGUAACAACCUCAUCAUCCCACCCUCUACCACUCCCCCCCCUUCAACAAGGCCCUGAAACGUGGAGGUAGCAUUGAAAAGGUGAAUAACACUGAGAUUUGGACAAUCAAAUAAAUGUCUGGGAUGAUCGCUGGCACAAGCAUGCUGUUACUACUUGGUUAUAAUACAUGCAGAAAUAAAGAUAAUAUGUUUUACAGGACACGCAGGUGUGGAUAUAUAAAAACAUACUGACUGUAAUUAUGUUGUUAUAAACCUAUGAAACCAUGCGCUCCUCGAACACACUUCAAAACCGAGGUAAUACAUCUCUGCAUAGACAUCAUCAGCGCCUAAACCCAGGAGCAGGACAGACAGACAACAGACCAAAUGAAGGAGGGAGUAUCAAUGAGUCCCAACUGGUUAAUGCAGGAAAAUCCCUGGAUUUCUCCAUAGUUUGGUCUUUUGGAUGGAAUCCAGCCAACACACCCACCUAGUCCCUGACAAUAUCCCUGGCCUGGUUUAUUCCCUGACAAUACCCCUGGCCUGGUCUAGUCCCUGACAAUACCCCUGGCCUGGUCUAGUCCCUGACAAUACCCCUGGCCUGGUCUAGUCCCUGACAAUACCCCUGGCCUGGUCUAGUCCCUGACAAUACCCCUGGCCUGGUUUAUUCCCUGACAAUACCCCUGGCCUGGUCUAGUCCCUGACAAUACCCCUGGCCUGGUCUAGUCCCUGACAAUACCCCUGGCCUGGUCUAGUCCCUGACAAUACCCCUGGCCUGGUCUAGUCCCUGACAAUACCCCUGGCCUGGUCUAGUCCCUGACAAUACCCCUGGCCUGGUCUAGUCCCUGACAAAACCCCUGGCCUGGUCUAGUCCCUGACAAUACCCCUGGCCUGGUCUAGUCCCUGACAAUACCCCUGGCCUGGUCUAGUCCCUGACAAUACCCCUGGCCUGGUUUAGUCCCUGUGGAGACAGGCAGAGAGGACUAUCCUGAAGGACAAAAACAGCUGGGAUGAAUCUGUAGCAUCAACCAGCAGGAGGCUCUGUCUAACUAGUCCAGAACACCACAUUUCAGCUGAUCUGGACUCACUUCUACUUUCACUGGAAAACAUGAUUUCACCAGCUGAAAGACACUGAUCAAGCUUCCACGUUCUCCAGAAAAGGGGUUUUGACAGUGCCUAUGAAAGCUUUGUUCCUGUGCCACUAGCAUAAAUGACAGGAAGACAUAGGCAGGGAAUCAUGUACGUGUUUCAAAUGUUUGUUUCAACAAAAUAGCUCCAUGUGCCCGAGAUAUUCCCUGCUGAAAUGUCUGCGCCGGUCCAGUUAGUAUCGACGGGUGUUUCUUUCACACUGGCUGCAGACACCAACCCAUUCAUUUUGGAUGUGCACUGCACACAUUUCAGUCCUGUACACGACAGAGGCAUGAUUAUACACACUGCAGACUGCACCUUCAUUAAAGAUGCUCUCGAAGAUCUUAAGGUAGAGGUCUUCACAGAUAUACCAGGAGCCAUUACAAAAAUGUGUAUCAUUUCAGCCAGUAGUUUUGAAAGUGGUGGUCAUGGUACGUGUUUCUUGUGUCAGCAAUUACAAAUGACAUCAUGAUUGGUGGUGACCUGCAUAAAGAACAAUAAUUCAUAUAUUUUAUGAAUCCAGUUUGUAAAAUAUGUAUUCAACUAGUGCUUGCGAUAGUGGUAUUUCCAGAUCCUGAAAUGUAUAUCCAGGCCUAAUAGAAGUGAUUUGGUAAAUUGAAAUGUAUAUCCAGGCCUAAUAGAAGUGAUUUGGUAAAUUGAAAUGUAUAUCCAGUACGUGAUUUGGUAAAUUUAAAUGUAUAUCCAGUACGUGAUUUGGUAAAUUGAAAUGUAUAUCCAGUACGUGAUUUGGUAAAUUUAAAUGUAUAUCCAGUACGUGAUUUGGUAAAUUGAAAUGUAUAUCCAGUACGUGAUUUGGUAAAUUGAAAUGUAUAUCCAGUACGUGAUUUGGUAAAUUGCCCGAUCAUGGGGCAGAUUACACUCGGAGGCCCCGGCCUAGAGAUCUGAGAUGCUUGGAAAUAUGGGAAGUACAGAUCAAAUCCACGGUUGGGAUCCUCAUUAAAAUUAACAUCAAACAAAUUUGCACUUAACGUUUGCCUCCUGACCGGUUACUUCAGUAGCACCAAAAUCAACUCUGCCCCUCUUCUUCAGGCAUAUGGCCACAGUGUUUCCCACACAGAUGAGCUCCGGCCAGCUGUAUUUGCCCGAGAGAGGUGUUCAGCAGGCUACCUCGUGGAGUUUCCCCUGUAGAUACGGGAUCUGAAAUAUGUUGCUAUUUCACAUCAGGGGAAGCAGUUACACCUAUGGAGAAGGAACGCAGGAGCUUUCUCAAUCGGGAUGGUUAAACAGUCUUGACUUUCUGUGUGAGAUCAUGUGACCCUGACCGAUUCUUCCUCAUCUCAUAAGUAUUUCAGAUCGGCGGUGGUCCACUUCUAUUAGGCCUGGAUGUACAUUUCAGGAUCUGGAAAUACCACUAUCGCAAGCACAACUAGUUGAAUACAUAUUUUACAAACUGGAUUCAUAAAAUAUAUGAAUUAUUGUUCUUUAUGCAGGUCACCACCAAUCAUGAUGUCAUUUGUAAUUGCUGACACAAGAAACACGUACCAUGACCACCACUUUCAAGACUACUGGCUGAAAUGAUACAAAUGCUUCAGAGUAAAUCUACAACUCACUGAAUGGUUCCUCUUUUUUUUCACAAAGCCUGUUUGUUAGUAUGUACUUAAAUGUUAUAGAUUUCUUUACUUUCAUUCUGCUUUUGAGAGCAGGCUUUGUUCUGGAGUUUCUUAGUCUGUGGUAAUGGUAGAAGGGUACAAACACAGACAGAGAGUGUUUUCUCUCCCCGAUCGAACAGGAAAUUUGAAAUCCAUCUUAACAAACACCGCAACCGCCAGAGAGAAACAGACAGACAUGCAUUCAGAGAAGGAAUCAUGAUCUGUAAAGUAUUAAAUAGCUUUUACCGCAUCCCCUAACUAACAUUAAGAUGGGAAGAGACAGAGUUCCUAAACACCAGACUGUGGGACAGUGUUGCUGGUGUUAAGGUGACUGUUCUCUGACCUCAAGCCCAGUCCCACAUCUUCCCUCUCCUGACCACAUCCCCUUUCUCAUAAGCGUCGCCCUAAAAGUCUUACAGGGAC
ensembl:lncRNA